GCCGGGUGCGUUGGCAUGUGCCUGUAAUCCAAGUCACUGGGAGGCUGAGGUUGGUGGAUCAAGUGAGCUGAGGAGCUCUGGGCUGCAGCACGCUAUGUCGAACGGGUGUCCACGCCAAGUUCGGUAUAGAUAUGGUGUUCCUGGGGGAGCCCGGGACCACCAGGUUGUCUAAGGGUGGGUGAUUCUGUCACGGCCGUCCUCCUCUUCGUCUGAAGAGGAGAGGCGAGAAGGAUCAGAGGACCAAUAUGCGGCGUGGUAAGUGUCCAUGGUAAAAUCUUUAAUAAAGAAAGACUGAACACUAUACAAACGAGUAACAAAAACAAUAAACCAAACUCGA
rnacentral:sRNA from 1 species